rnacentral:rRNA from 1 species
AUUGAACGCUGGCGGCAUGCCUUACACAUGCAAGUCGAACGGCAGCGGGGGAAAGCUUGCUUUCCUGCCGGCGAGUGGCGAACGGGUGAGUAAUACAUCGGAACGUGCCCUGUAGUGGGGGAUAACUAGUCGAAAGAUUAGCUAAUACCGCAUACGACCUGAGGGUGAAAGUGGGGGACCGCAAGGCCUCAUGCUAUAGGAGCGGCCGAUGUCUGAUUAGCUAGUUGGUGGGGUAAAGGCCCACCAAGGCGACGAUCAGUAGCUGGUCUGAGAGGACGAUCAGCCACACUGGGACUGAGACACGGCCCAGACUCCUACGGGAGGCAGCAGUGGGGAAUUUUGGACAAUGGGCGAAAGCCUGAUCCAGCAAUGCCGCGUGUGUGAAGAAGGCCUUCGGGUUGUAAAGCACUUUUGUCCGGAAAGAAAUGGCUCAUGGUUAAUACCUGGGGUCGAUG